AGGUGGCAGACACACAGAUGGAUGGCAGGACCAAGGCAGUGCCACCUUGGAUCUUCUUCCACUGCCAUGGAACUGCAGGCUCAGGCAGAAGUGCCCUCUCCUCCUGAUCUCAGCCAUCCGGCAGUUUUUAGAACUCAACUCUCAGGAACUAAAAAUGAGAAGAUGCGACCCAGCAUGUCUUAUUCAUGAAACAUUCCCCAAACCCUUGAGGCAGUGGGAGUUUCACACCAAGAAAGGCCACGAGAUGAAUGCUCCUCGUGCUGGGUCUGAGCAGCACAACGAGACAACUGUUUGGCUGAAAACCAGAGGGAAGAGGACCCAAGCAUGGAGAGGGAACAGUCUGCUUCUGGACCAAGAGUCUGCUACGAAGAGAGGAACUGCCCACAGCUGGAUGCUUCAGGAAGUGAGAAAUGAAGAGCAUCCAUACUGAACAGCAGGAGCACCGCUG